rnacentral:misc_RNA from 1 species
GAUGAAGAACGCAGCGAAAUGCGAUAAGUAAUGUGAAUUGCAGAAUUCAGUGAAUCAUCGAAUCUUUGAACGCAUCUUGCGCUCCUUGGUAUUCUGAGGAGCAUGCCUGUUUGAGUGUCAUCAAAUUCUCAACCACUUCUUUUGAUGUGGCUUUGGAUAUGGGGGGAUUUCUUUUUUGCAGGCUUCUGAAAAACAAAGUCGGCUCCCCUGAAAUGUAUUAGUGGUGUCUGAGCAGGAGACUACUAUGGGUGUGAUAAAUCUAUCUAUGCCUUGGUACAACUGCUAUGCCGCUUCUAGCGAGUGCAUUUGACAAAUUUGACCUCAAAUCAGGUAGGACUACCCGCUGAACUUAAGCAUAUCAAUAAGCGGAGGA